rnacentral:rRNA from 1 species
GAUGAACGCUAGCGGGAGGCCUAACACAUGCAAGCCGAGCGGUAGAGAUUCUUCGGAAUCUUGAGAGCGGCGCACGGGUGCGGAACACGUGUGCAACCUGCCUUUAUCUGGGGGAUAGCCUUUCGAAAGGAAGAUUAAUACCCCAUAAUAUAUUGAGUGGCAUCACUUGAUAUUGAAAACUCCGGUGGAUAGAGAUGGGCACGCGCAAGAGUAGAUAGUUGGUGAGGUAACGGCUCACCAAGUCAAUGAUCUUUAGGGGGCCUGAGAGGGUGAUCCCCCACACUGGUACUGAGACACGUACCAGACUCCUACGGGAGGCAGCAGUGAGGAAUAUUGGACAAUGGGUGAGAGCCUGAUCCAGCCAUCCCGCGUGAAGGACGACUGCCCUAUGGGUUGUAAACUUCUUUUAUACUGGGAUAAACCUACCCUCGUGAGGGUAGCUGAAGGUACAGUAUGAAUAAGCACCGGCUAACUCCGUGCCAGCAGCCGCCGUAAUAC